rnacentral:rRNA from 1 species
UACGUAGGGUGCAAGCGUUGUCCGGAAUUAUUGGGCGUAAAGAGCUCGUAGGCGGUCUGUCGCGUCGGCUGUGAAAUCCCGAGGCUCAACCUCGGGUCUGCAGUCGAUACGGGCAAACUAGAGUAUUGCAGGGGAGACUGGAAUUCCUGGUGUAGCGGUGAAAUGCGCAGAUAUCAGGAGGAACACCGGUGGCGAAGGCGGGUCUCUGGGCAGUUGCUGACACUGAGGCGCGACAGCGUGGGGAGCAAACAGG